GAUGAACGCUGGCGGUGUGCUUAACACAUGCAAGUCGAACGAAGCAUUUCGGUCUUAGUCUUCGGAAGCGGACUGAUCUGACUGAGUGGCGGACGGGUGAGUAACGCGUGGGUAACCUGCCCUGUACAAGGGGAUAACAGUUAGAAAUGACUGCUAACACCGCAUAAGCGCACAGAAAGGCAUCUUUCGGUGUGAAAAUAUUUAUAGGUACAGGAUGGGCCCGCGUCUGAUUAGCCAGUUGGCAGGGUAACGGCCUACCAAAGCAACGAUCAGAAGCCGGCUUGAGAGAGUGAACGGCCACAUUGGGACUAAGACACGGCCCAAACUCCUACGGGAGGCAGCAGUGGGGAAUAUUGCACAAUGAGGUAAACCCUGAUGAAGCGACGCCGCGUGAGUGAAGAAGUAUUUCGGUAUGUAAAGCUCUAUCAGCAGGGAAGAAAAUGACGGUACCUGACUAAGAAGCCCCGGCUAACUACGUGCCAGCCGCCGCCGUAA
rnacentral:rRNA from 1 species